rnacentral:rRNA from 1 species
CCAGACUCCUACGGGAGGCAGCAGUGGGGAAUAUUGCACAAUGGGGGAAACCCUGAUGCAGCGACGCCGCGUGAGUGAAGAAGUAUUUCGGUAUGUAAAGCUCUAUCAGCAGGGAAGAAAAUGACGGUACCUGACUAAGAAGCCCCGGCUAACUACGUGCCAGCAGCCGCGGUAAUACGUAGGGGGCAAGCGUUAUCCGGAUUUACUGGGUGUAAAGGGAGCGUAGACGGCGGAACAAGUCAGAAGUGAAAACCCGGGGCUCAACCCUGGGAGUGCUUUUGAAACUGUUUGGCUGGAGUGCAGGAGAGGUAAGCCGAAUUCCUAGUGUAGCGGUGAAAUGCGUAGAUAUUAGGAGGAACACCAGUGGCGAAGGCGGCUUACUGGACUGUAACUGACGUUGAGGCUCGAAAGCGUGGGGAGCAAACAGGAUUAGAUACCCCGGUAA